CCAUAUGUCAGCCAUUAACAGUCAGCAGCUAGGACCUGUGAUCUAGGAAGCAAAUGCAGCUCCUGUGCUCGCUUCAUAGUCUGGAUGCACUAAGUACUAGGCAUCCAGAAUGUACAGGAUCCAUUGGAGUUGCUAGGGGGCCUGGCUUAUCACGAAAAGGCGCAGUGAUGCCACAGGAUCAAGCCCGGGGCCAUCACAGGAGCAAGGAUACGUCAGCCAAUAGGAGCGACCUGGCAGUCAGAAGAGGAUGGAGGAAGAUUGCGCAUCAGUGAGCAAGUUAUCGGUGCCUAAAACAAGCCAGGUGGACUAUGCUCCUCUCAGAGUCGCGCUGGAGGCUCGGUGUCCCGGAGGCUCGGUGUCCUGCAGCCUCGUGGAUGAUGGAACUCCCCAUGACAGGAAUUGAGCACAGCGCUCUCCGGAUCAAUACUCACAGCACAUGCAGGAGUCGGCUUAAACAUGACUGCUGGGAUCUAUGGUCCUCCAACUUGUGUAUACAAGUUAAUAAAUGAUUCCAACAGCUUGCCUUUUCUUCUGAGUAUGGAAAAAGAGAAGGAGCACCAUUGGGCUUUUGGACAGAGAUUUUGGCUUGAAUUUAAGUUGGAGUCCAUGUGCGUUUGCAAAGCCCCCAUGGUGCCAGAACAGUGGACCCCCACAUGUAACCCCAUUUUGGAUACUACACCCCUUACGGAAUGUAAUACAACUCCCAACAUGACCAGACAGCCAAAGGGCAUGCUGUGAGUUGUAGUUAUGCAACAGCUUGAUGCACACCACUACAAGUCCCAGCAUGCCAUUUGGCUGUCCAUGCAUGCUGGGAGUUGUAGUUAUGCAACAGCCAGAGAGAACAAGUACCUACAGCUGUUGCAUAACUACAACUCCCAGAACACCCUUUGGCUGUGCAUGCUGGGAGUUGUACCUAUGCAGCAGCAGGAGGCACCCAGUCCUUACCUUCUGCUUCUGCCUCGAGGUCCCACCACGCUCCUCGCCACCACUGCUGCCACCAGUCCUCGAUCCCCUCUUCGCCGCCGCCCUCAGGUACCCAAGCCCUGAUGUACACCCUCUCUGCCGCAAUUGGUUGGCCGACCACUGCCACCUCAAUCCUGCUGGGCAUGGGUGAUUGGUGCUGUCUCUGACAGCACCAAUCACACAAAUUUUCCAGGCCAUCGGAAGUUUUCCACCGGAGUGCCCCUUUAACCCCUACAGGACCCAUGACGUACCGGUAUGUCAUGAGUCCACUCCCGCUCUAUAACGCGGGGGCCACGGCGUGGCCC